rnacentral:rRNA from 1 species
GCUCAGGGUGUCGAGGUUGUCGUGCUCUUUCGGAGUUCAGCCCGCGGUGGACUUCUGCCCGCCGUUGGUGCACUCGCCGUUGGAGUUGGACCGUCAGUCGGGAAGAGACCCUUGGGGCCUGCUUGUCGGCGGUUCGGGAGGUAUGCCUCGCGGUUUCCCUUCGGGGAGCCCGAGGUGACGUACAGCCGGCCGUCGUGGUCCCGGUUUUCUUUCAGGUGCGUUUGGAUGUCUGUUCGUCCGGAAUGGGAAGGCGCAGUCUCCCCGUCGUGGGAGGUCGAGCCGGUCCUGCGGUUGCGCUGCCCGGUGGGACUCGUGCUCCGUUCUCUCUCCGUUACCUCGUGUGCGGAGCAGGGUGCGGCGCGGCCCGCCGGUGAUGGUGUCCCUCGGGGCCUGCGUUCCAUGCCUCUGCGUCUAGGUGACUGGCGAAGAGUCGUUACCCUGUGC